AGGCUUUAUCAAAUGGUGCGAAGG
rnacentral:siRNA from 1 species